rnacentral:rRNA from 1 species
UACGUAGGGUGCGAGCGUUGUCCGGAAUUAUUGGGCGUAAAGGGCUCGUAGGCGGUUUGUCGCGUCGGGAGUGAAAACCUCGGGCUUAACUCGGGGCUUGCUUUCGAUACGGGCAGACUGGAGGUAUGCAGGGGAGAACGGAAUUCCUGGUGUAGCGGUGAAAUGCGCAGAUAUCAGGAGGAACACCGGUGGCGAAGGCGGAUCUCUGGGCCUUGCCUGACGCUGAGGCGCGAAAGCUAGGGGAGCGAACAGG